rnacentral:rRNA from 1 species
UGAGUUUGAUCAUGGCUCAGAUUGAACGCUGGCGGCAGGCCUAACACAUGCAAGUCGAACGGUAACAGGAAGAAGCUUGCUUCUUUGCUGACGAGUGGCGGACGGGUGAGUAAUGUCUGGGAAACUGCCUGAUGGAGGGGGAUAACUACUGGAAACGGUAGCUAAUACCGCAUAACGUCGCAAGACCAAAGAGGGGGACCUUCGGGCCUCUUGCCAUCGGAUGUGCCCAGAUGGGAUUAGCUAGUAGGUGGGGUAACGGCUCACCUAGGCGACGAUCCCUAGCUGGUCUGAGAGGAUGACCAGCCACACUGGAACUGAGACACGGUCCAGACUCCUACGGGAGGCAGCAGUGGGGAAUAUUGCACAAUGGGCGCAAGCCUGAUGCAGCCAUGCCGCGUGUAUGAAGAAGGCCUUCGGGUUGUAAAGUACUUUCAGCGGGGAGGAAGGGAGUAAAGUUAAUACCUUUGCUCAUUGACGUUACCCGCAGAAGAAGCACCGGCUAACUCCGUGCCAGCAGCCGCGGUAACACGGAGGGUGCAAGCGUUAAUCGGAAUUACUGGGCGUAAAGCGCACGCAGGCGGUUUGUUAAGUCAAAUGUGAAAUCCCCGGGCUCAACCUGGGAACUGCAUCUGAUACUGGCAAGCUUGAGUCUCGUAGAGGGGGGUAGAAUUCCAGGUGUAGCGGUGAAAUGCGUAGAGAUCUGGAGGAAUACCGGUGGCGAAGGCGGCCCCCUGGACGAAGACUGACGCUCAGGUGCGAAAGCGUGGGGAGCAAACAGGAUUAGAUACCCUGGUAGUCCACGCCGUAAACGAUGUCGACUUGGAGGUUGUGCCCUUGAGGCGUGGCUUCCGGAGCUAACGCGUUAAGUCGACCGCCUGGGAAGUACGGCCGCAAGGUUAAAACUCAAAUGAAUUGACGGGGGCCCGCACAAGCGGUGGAGCAUGUGGUUUAAUUCGAUGCAACGCGAAGAACCUUACCUGGUCUUGACAUCCACGGAAGUUUUCAGAGAUGAGAAUGUGCCUUCGGGAACCGUGAGACAGGUGCUGCAUGGCUGUCGUCAGCUCGUGUUGUGAAAUGUUGGGUUAAGUCCCGCAACGAGCGCAACCCUUAUCCUUUGUUGCCAGCGGUCCGGCCGGGAACUCAAAGGAGACUGCCAGUGAUAAACUGGAGGAAGGUGGGGAUGACGUCAAGUCAUCAUGGCCCUUACGACCAGGGCUACACACGUGCUGCAAUGGCGCAUACAAAGAGAAGCGACCUCGCGAGAGCAAGCGGACCUCAUAAAGUGCGUCGUAGUCCGGAUUGGAGUCUGCAACUCGACUCCAUGAAGUCGGAAUCGCUAGUAAUCGUGGAUCAGAAUGCCACGGUGAAUACGUUCCCGGGCCUUGUACACACCGCCCGUCACACCAUGGGAGUGGGUUGCAAAAGAAGUAGGUAGCUUAACCUUCGGGAGGGCGCUUACCACUUUGUGAUUCAUGACUGGGGUGAAGUCGUAACAAGGUAACCA